UCGCGGGCGUCUUAGCCCGACCCGGCAGGGCUACGGAGUAACGGCCGCAGCCCCGGGUGGGCUGAGUCGGCAUGUCGCAAGGCCGGGAGCGCGACGAGGCCUCUGCCACAGUCAUACCCUCUGCCUCUGCCCAUUACUCCGGAGCCUCCCUGUCGGUGAGGUGCACAGUUGCUGGGCCUUAGACAUCUGGAAAAGCUCUAACAAGACUUUUCUGUCCCUCCACGUUCUGGAGGACUGUUUGCAAUUCAGCAUCGUCCUCUGUC
rnacentral:lncRNA from 1 species